UACGUAGGGGGCAAGCGUUGUCCGGAAUUAUUGGGCGUAAAGAGCGUGUAGGCGGCCAGAUAAGUCCGCUGUGAAAUCUCGAGGCUCAACUUCGAGCUGUCGGUGGAAACUAUCUGGCUAGAGUCCGGAAGAGGAAAAUGGAAUUCCUGGUGUAGCGGUGAAAUGCGCAGAUAUCAGGAAGAACACCCGUGGCGAAGGCGGGUCUCUGGGCAGUAACUGACGCUGAGGAGCGAAAGUGUGGGGGGGCGAACAGG
rnacentral:rRNA from 1 species